UAGGGAAUCUUCCGCAAUGGACGCAAGUCUGACGGAGCAACGCCGCGUGAGUGAAGAAGGAUUUCGGUUCGUAAAACUCUGUUGUUAGAGAAGAACAGCGCAUAGAGUAACUGUUAUGCGUGUGACGGUAUCUAACCAGAAAGCCACGGCUAACUACGUGCCAGCAGCCGCGGUAAUACGUAGGUGGCAAGCGUUGUCCGGAUUUAUUGGGCGUAAAGCGAGCGCAGGCGGUCAAUUAAGUCUGAUGUGAAAGCCCCCGGCUCAACCGGGGAGGGUCAUUGGAAACGGGUUGACUUGAGUGCAGAAGAGGAGAGUGGAAUUCCAUGUGUAGCGGUGAAAUGCGUAGAUAUAUGGGGGAACACCAGUGGCGAAGGCGACUCUCUGGUCUGUAACUGACGCUGAGGCUCGAAAGCGUGGGUAGCAAACAGG
rnacentral:rRNA from 1 species